UCCUAGACCAAAACGAAGAAU
rnacentral:piRNA from 1 species